GACGAACGCUGGCGGCGUGCUUAACACAUGCAAGUCGAACGGUAAGGCCCCGCUUUUGUGGGGUGCUCGAGUGGCGAACGGGUGAGUAACACGUGAGUAACCUGCCCUUGACUUUGGGAUAACUUCAGGAAACUGGGGCUAAUACCGGAUAGGAGCUCCUGCUGCAUGGUGGGGGUUGGAAAGUUUCGGCGGUUGGGGAUGGACUCGCGGCUUAUCAGCUUGUUGGUGGGGUAGUGGCUUACCAAGGCUUUGACGGGUAGCCGGCCUGAGAGGGUGACCGGCCACAUUGGGACUGAGAUACGGCCCAGACUCCUACGGGAGGCAGCAGUGGGGAAUAUUGCACAAUGGGCGGAAGCCUGAUGCAGCAACGCCGCGUGCGGGAUGACGGCCUUCGGGUUGUAAACCGCUUUCGCCUGUGACGAAGCGUGAGUGACGGUAAUGGGUAAAGAAGCACCGGCUAACUACGUG
rnacentral:rRNA from 1 species